rnacentral:rRNA from 1 species
GACGAACGCUGGCGGCGUGCUUAACACAUGCAAGUCGAACGAAGUGGCGAACGGGUGAGUAACGCGUAAUCAACCUGCCCUUCAGAGGGGGACAACAGUUGGAAACGACUGCUAAUACCGCAUACUGAAGGAGGGGAUUGCGUCUGAUUAGUUAGUUGGAGGGGUAACGGCCCACCAAGGCGAUGCGCAGUAGGCGGUCGUGGAGGAUGAACGGCCACAUUGGGACUGAGACACGGCCCAGACUCGUACGGGAGGCAGCAGUGGGGAAUCUUCCGGAAUGGACGAAAGUCUGACGGGGCAACGCGGCGUGAGGGAUGACGGCCUUCGGGUUGUAAAGCUCUGUUAAUCGGGACGCGGUAUCUAACCAGAAAGCCACGGCUAACUACGUGCCAGCAGCCGCGGUAAUAC